rnacentral:rRNA from 1 species
CUUGUUGGUGAGGUAACGGCUCACCAAGGCGACGACGGGUAGCCGGCCUGAGAGGGCGACCGGCCACACUGGGACUGAGACACGGCCCAGACUCCUACGGGAGGCAGCAGUGGGGAAUAUUGCACAAUGGGCGCAAGCCUGAUGCAGCGACGCCGCGUGAGGGAUGACGGCCUUCGGGUUGUAAACCUCUUUCAGCAGGGAAGAAGCGCAAGUGACGGUACCUGCAGAAGAAGCGCCGGCUAACUACGUGCCAGCAGCCGCGGUAAUACGUAGGGCGCAAGCGUUGUCCGGAAUUAUUGGGCGUAAAGAGCUCGUAGGCGGCUUGUCGCGUCGGUUGUGAAAGCCCGGGGCUUAACCCCGGGUCUGCAGUCGAUACGGGCAGGCUAGAGUUCGGUAGGGGAGAUCGGAAUUCCUGGUGUAGCGGUGAAAUGCGCAGAUAUCAGGAGGAACACCGGUGGCGAAGGCGGAUCUCUGGGCCGAUACUGACGCUGAGGAGCGAAAGCGUGGGGAGCGAACAGGAUUAGAUACCCUGGUAGUCCACGCCGUAAACGGUGGGCACUAGGUGUGGGCCACAUCC